AUAUCAAUAAGGCGAGGAACAGAAACCAACAGGGAUUGCCCUAGUAACGGCGAGUGAAGCGGCAACAGCUCAAAUUUGAAAUCUGGCCUUGGCCCGAGUUGUAAUUUGCAGAGGAUGCUUCUGGCGCGGCACCUUCCGAGUUCCCUGGAACGGGACGCCACAGAGGGUGAGAGCCCCGUAUGGUCGGAUGCCUAGCCUGUGUGAAGCCCCUUCGACGAGUCGAGUAGUUUGGGAAUGCUGCUCAAAAUGGGAGGUAAAUUCCUUCUAAAGCUAAAUAUUGGCCAGAGACCGAUAGCGCACAAAGUA
rnacentral:rRNA from 1 species